rnacentral:lncRNA from 1 species
AUAAACCCUAUACCCUAAUGCUGUCAUCUUCUUCUUCUACAUAAGUCACUGAAGAGAGUUUGGUUUGAAGAGAAAAUAAAAUGAGAAACUAAAGAGCGGCGGAUUCGACUCAGAUCGUGAAACUGAGUCAAGCAAAAUCUGCAAAGCUUACGUAAGAUUUGUCCUUUUAAGCAUGUUUUCAUUCUUUCAAUAUUUUAGUACACAUGUGUUCAAUUUAUCUGAAGAACAUGAAAUUUAUAGUUAAUUUGUAAUUAUUUUAGGAAUUUUAACUUAUUUUGAAGUUAUAAUUCUUUUGGGGCUUUUGAUUGAUGUGAUGACGAUAACAUAAGAAAUCAUGAUUGUUGGAAUUUUUAAUCCCUUCAAGAUGAAUUUCAAUUUUGGUUCGUAUUCCCUGAGCAUCAGUAGUAGCAUUAUCUAUGAAAGAAGUUUUUUGAUAUAAUGUGCUUUCACCCAGAUUGUGAAACUGAGUCACCAAAACUGUAAAUGUUAAUUGAAUCUAAUGUAAGCUUUUGUCCUUUUAAGCAUGAUUCUUUCAAUAAACACGUGUUCAAGUUAUCUGAAGAACAUGAAAUUUAUAGUUAAAUAGUUUAAAAUUAUCAAAAUGUAGAACCCCUUUUUGUAUUUUUAGGAAUUUUAGCUUAUUUUGAAGUUUUAAUUCUUUUGGGGCUUAUAAUUGAUGCGAUGACGAUAACAUAAGAAAUCACGAUUGUUGGGAUUUUUAAUCCCUUCAAAAUGAAUUUCAAUUUUGGUUCGUAUUCCCUGAGCAUCAGUACUAACAUUACUUAUUAGUAGUUAAACCUUACUUAGCCAAAAGAGUGAAGGACCUAUUGAGGAAGUGCUUUGUUACAUUGUGCUUUUAUCCAAGUUUGUCUUUUCCAAAAUCUUAUUAGGGAAUAUUGAUCACAGAGUUGAACAUUUUUUAACGUUUGGAGUCGGUCUAAAGUCAGGUCUGUUUUAAAAUUUUCAUACAUUAUGAUUUUUUAUUUAUUUUGAGAAAACGAUGCGAAGGUCCCAGCAGAGAGGUAGGAACUCUAUAUUGAGACCUCUCUAACAUGAAUUAUUACCCUUCGCAGAUUGAGAUCAUUAUCAGCUGUUUCGUAGGAUGCCCAAAUAGAUCACGAGAUCAAGAUUCUUGGUGUAUCUUGAACCCUCAGCUACAUUUAAUUCAUUAUGGUUGUGUUCAGGUCCAAUAAAAUUUUCUAUCUACUAUACUCAUCUGUACUUCUUUUGUACAAUAACUAAUUAUUUUUUCCAAGCUUUAGUGUGUGAUCAAUUCAGCUCUGUAGUAGCUACAAUGGUUGUUCUCUCGUUUUUUUUUCUCUCAUGGAUUUACAACCUGCCACAUUGAUCCAGAUGACAUUUGUAUUUGUUGCAUCAAAUAUCUGAAGAGAGAAAGCUUAUAUUAAAAUCCAUAAGGCAUAUUGUUUAAUGUUAGAUUUUAACUUCUUCCCAAAGAAUAUGGCUACUUAUGAUUCUAUAUCCAAUUGAUGAUUUGAUGCGAUGACGAGAACUUGAGAAAUCAUUGAUUGUGGAUAUUUAUAUCCUCCAAGAUGAAUGUCUUUCUGGUUCGUAUUCCCUGAGCAUCAAAUCUGCUUGUACAUAUGUUUUUUUAUCUGAAGUUGGUCGGUUUGAAACGCAAAUCACACAUUUUUAAGCUCUAAUCUGAUUUAUAUUUCUACCUCUUUGACUUUUUCACUCUUUGAUUUGAAUAGCCUAAGGUUUGAACUGUAUAUUGUUUGGUUUUCUUUUUUUGAAAGGUUUUGUUUUAUUCAAAGCUUUAAUAGAUGCAAUGAUGAUAACAUAAGAAAUUAUUGAUUGUGAGAUCACUAUUCCCUCAACAUGAGUUUCAUUUUUGGUUCGUAUUCCCUGAGCAUCAAGUCUGUAUAUAGAUAUUUUUUAACAUAAAAAUAGCUAAAUCUGCCAAUGGUUGAAAUGCUUUGAUAUGGUAUGUUGUCAUUUUACCUUUGUAUUCAGGAGUGAAUAAUUACUUAGGGUGCAUUUGAUAAUAGCUUUGCCAUGGAAAAUCAGGUCUUUGCCACCAUUUGCCAGAGUUUGCCUGUGUUUGAAAACGUUUUGGUAAAAUGGCAAAAACAAAAUCAAAAUUUGCCGUUGACUGAUCACGUGAUCAUUUUUGGCCCAAUUUACCUGGCAAAUCUAGAAAAAAUUUGCCCACCUCAAGAGGUGGAACUCAGCCUCUUUUCGCCUGUAUAAAACAUAACCCACAAAUAAAAAAACCUAGCCCUAUCUGUUUCUUCUCUCGUUCUCACUUCUCUCUCGCAGUAUUUACAAAACUCAAACAAAGAAGACGAAAGAUAACACUGGUAAGAAUUAUCUUCUUCUUCUUUCUAUUAUCUAGUUCUAGUUUUUUCUUCUUUCUUUUUUUUAUUUGUCUUUGAAAACUUGGAAUCGAUAAAAGCUUGAACUCUUUCAUCGCAAAUCUAUUGCAAAGCUUGAACGAUUGAACAAAUUGUCUUCCUUGAAAUUAGGGGUGGGCAAAAAAACCGAAAAACCGAAAACCGAACCGAAAAAACCGAGUCAAAACCGAGUUGACUGAAAACCGGUCAACACCGGACCGAAACCGAACCGAACUAUAUAGCUAUCGGUCCGGUCUCGGUUCUGGUUUUUAUAGAACCGAGAAAACCGAACCGAACCGAAAUAAAUAAAAAAUAUUUUUUUUAAUAGGAAAUUACUAAACUAGACAUAGUAAAUACUAAACCUAAAACUUCAUUCAGUCCCGCCUCCUUCAGUCCUCUUCUCCAUUCCGCCUCCUUCAGUCCUCUUCUCCACCACCACCGCCACUUCCUCGUUCCUCUUCCUCGUUCGAUCGAAAUAGUUAAUACAAUACGAAAACCGAAAACAAUUCGUUCGUCGUCGUGGUAGAGAAAUCGAUUAGAGUUUUCGAUUCGAAAGGUAUUCAUGAAACCUUAAUUAGAGUUUUCGAUUUCAAUAUGUGUAGUUUGAUUGAUUGAUUUGAUGAGUUUAGAUUUGUUUCUGUUAAAGAGUUUAUGUUCUUUUGCUUCUGUUAAUGUUUAGUAGUUUCUAAAUUUUUUUAUUUUUUUUCUGUUAGAUUAGAUUAGAUUAAAUUGAAUCUGCCUCUUUGAGUAGCCAUACGAGUUUUAUUGUUAUUGGUGGAGUUUUUCUACCAAACAAUCCAUAUCAUAUGGCUUAGUUAUGAGGCAAAGAUUAAUAGAUUUCUUUUUCAACUUCAAUUUCAUUGAUUUUGAUUUCGAGAUCCUCUUAGGUUGUUUGAGAUGAUUUUUAGAUAUUAAAAAUACUUCUAAUUGUCUUUCAAACGACCUUGAACAUUUGUUUUUGUUUCUUUUUUUUUUUGAUGAAAUUAAGAUUGCCUCAAAAUUACCGAAUUGUGGAAGUUUAGAGACCACAUUUGGUCCAGACAGAGGCAUAGAAUAAGAGAUGGGUAUGUGUUUUGCACAUUACCCGUCUUUCGAAUUGGUUUGAAGGAUAGAAAUGAUGGGAGUUUCUGUUCUAGUUCCUCUCUUAUAUUGGAGAAGAAAUUAGGGAUUUUCCAUCUCAGUUUCUAUCCUAGAUAGAUUCGGAUAUUUUAUUCUUUGAAAAGUUUGUAGUUUAUCUUAGUAUAUGAUGGAUCAAGCAAAUGAUUCUUAAAAGUGUUGAAACUAGCAAUGUGUUCUUAUCAUUGUUGGAAUGCUUCUUAGAUCUUUACAUUGUUGUAAUGAAGUACAUUCAAAAGGACGUCCAGCAGAUGUGAUUCACUCAACAAAUUUCCCCAAAAUGUGUUCCCUUUUUUUUUAUUCAUUCAAUCCCUUUGUAACUCCAUCAUGUGAUUCUUUUUGGCAGGUUUCAAAAGAGGUUUGGACUUUAUAUCACGAAAGUUUGGUGGCUCGAAGGUUAUAUGCAAGUGUUUUUUUGCAAUUUGAUCAUUGUCGCGCUUGUUGUUUUGAAGGAACUUUGGACUUGUCACGCUUGUUUGUACUUUUAAGAAUUUUUUGUUAUGUAUUUGGAGCAACUUCUAUGCAUAGUACAAAAUAUCGUUAUCGACUAAUGUAUCGAUCUCCAAAAAAUAGAUAUAUCGGGAUAUAUUGGAA